CCUACGGGAGGCAGCAGUGGGGAAUAUUGGACAAUGGGCGAAAGCCUGAUCCAGCAAUGCCGCGUGAGUGAUGAAGGCCUUAGGGUUGUAAAGCUCUUUUACCAGGGAUGAUAAUGACAGUACCUGGAGAAUAAGCUCCGGCUAACUCCGUGCCAGCAGCCGCGGUAAUACGGAGGGAGCUAGCGUUGUUCGGAAUUACUGGGCGUAAAGAGUACGUAGGCGGUUAUUCAAGUCAGAGGUGAAAGCCCGGGGCUCAACCCCGGAACUGCCUUUGAAACUAGAUAGCUAGAGUCUUGGAGAGGUUAGUGGAAUUCCGAGUGUAGAGGUGAAAUUCGUAGAUAUUCGGAAGAACACCAGUGGCGAAGGCGACUAACUGGACAAGUACUGACGCUGAGGUACGAAAGCGUGGGGAGCAAACAGGAUUAGAUACCCUGGUAGUCCACGCCGUAAACGAUGAUAACUAGUUGUUCGGGCACUUGGUGCCUGAGUGACGCAGCUAACGCAUUAAGUUAUCCGCCUGGGGAGUACGGUCGCAAGAUUAAAACUCAAAGGAAUUGACGGCUGAGAGNGCGAGACGACGACGAGGAGAG
rnacentral:rRNA from 1 species